rnacentral:rRNA from 1 species
AUUGAACGCUGGCGGCGUGCUUAACACAUGCAAGUCGAACGGUAGCAGAUCUUUCGGGAUGCUGACGAGUGGCGAACGGGUGAGUAAUGUAUAGUUAAUUUGCCUCUUGGAGGGGGAUAACAGUUGGAAACGACUGCUAAUACCUCAUACUCCUCUAUGCUUAAUGUGUAGAGGGAAAUGUUAUUUCGCCAAGAGAUAAGACUAUAUGGUAUCAGGUAGUUGGUGGGGUAAUAGCUACCAAGCCUAUGACGCCUAGCUGGUCUGAGAGGAUGAUCAGCCACACUGGAACUGAGACACGGUCCAGACUCCUACGGGAGGCAGCAGUGGGGAAUAUUGCACAAUGGAGGAAACUCUGAUGCAGCAACGCCGCGUGGAGGAUGACGCAUUUCGGUGUGUAAACUCCUUUUAUAUGGGAAGAUAAUGACGGUACCAUAUGAAUAAGCACCGGCUAACUCCGUGCCAGCAGCCG